UACAGAGGUCUCAAGCGUUGUUCGGAUUCAUUGGGCGUAAAGGGUGCGUAGGCGGCGCGGUAAGUCGGGUGUGAAAUCUCGGAGCUUAACUCGAAACUGCAUUCGAUACUGCCGUGCUUGAGGACUGGAGAGGAGACUGGAAUUUACGGUGUAGCGGUGAAAUGCGUAGAUAUCGUAAGGAAGACCAGUGGCGAAGGCGGGUCUCUGGACAGUUCCUGACGUGAGGCACGAAGGUCAGGGGAGCAAACGGG
rnacentral:rRNA from 1 species